rnacentral:rRNA from 1 species
UGAGCAACCUGCCCUUGACUCUGGAAUAACAGUUGGAAACAGCUGCUAAUACCGGAUAUGAUCUCUGACGACAUCGUCUGGAGGUGGAAAGCUCCGGCGGAGAAGGAUGAGCUCGCGGCCUGUCAGCUAGUUGGUGUGGGUAAUGGCCCACCAAGGCGACGACGGGUAGCCGGCCUGAGAGGGUGAUCGGCCACAUUGGAACUGAGACACGGUCCAGACCUCCG